rnacentral:lncRNA from 1 species
GUAAAAUCGUAUUUUUACUAAAAAAUUGAUGAAAGUGACCUUUUGCAUAAUGAAAUAUGGAAACAGAGGUGAAAAUGCUAAAAAAAUUAAAGGUAUGAACGUUUUGCGCAAUAAUAUUGAAAGAUAGAUAUGUUUCGUGCUAUUUACCCAAUUCCAUUCAACUGAAAUAAGGGAAACAAUUCUCCUCAAAUUCCACUCAACAACUACUCAAAAUAAGAUAACAAUACUAAAGUUCCACAGAUGGAUAGGACAAAAUUUGCAGCAGCGUAUGCAAGCAUUUAUGUUCCUGAAAAAUUAAGAGAUAGGCUAAUGCAUGAAUAAAAUGAAAAAAAAAAAAGAUACUGAAGAACGAACAAUUCACAAUAGCACUUCAACUGACAUAAUACCACAAAUAAAUAACUAAUUAAACCACAUAUUUUCCUUCCGAGUCGUAAUACCAUGUGUGAAGUAUGAUUUGAUGGACGCUUGAGGUGGGUCUUUGUUGUUUAAUAAUGGCUGAACUGUUGAGACGGCGAUGGCUUUGUCAAAUGGUCAAAUAUGGACAAUCGGUCGGAAUGAAAGAAAGCAUCGAAGGUAAAGCUUACCGGUGACAUGGUGCUUCAAAAUUCAAGAUUUCGUCGGAAAAUGGUGUUGUUAGUUUGGAGGGUUUGAAAAGGGGGAAAAUGAGGAGAGAGAUGGUUUUACCCGUAAAGAGUGUUUUCUUUUCUUUUAUUUUUUCCCUCCAUUUUCCAAGUCGCAUUGUAAGGCACAUUGUGAAGCCUAUUGUACGAGUAGUGGGGUCGCAGUAAAACGGGG